rnacentral:rRNA from 1 species
AGCGAACGCUGGCGGCAGGCCUAACACAUGCAAGUCGAACGAACCUUUCGGGGUUAGUGGCGGACGGGUGAGUAACACGUGGGAACGUGCCUUUAGGUUCGGAAUAACUCAGGGAAACUUGUGCUAAUACCGAAUGUGCCCUUCGGGGGAAAGAUUAAUCGCCUUUAGAGCGGCCCGCGUCUGAUUAGCUAGUUGGUUGAGGUAAUGGCUCACCAAGGCGACGAUCAGUAGCUAGUCUGAGAGGAUGAUCAGCCACAUUGGGACUGAGACACGGCCCAAACUCCUACGGGAGGCAGCAGUGGGGAAUCUUGCGCAAUGGGCGAAAGCCUGACGCAGCCAUGCCGCGUGAAUGAUGAAGGUCUUAGGAUUGUAAAAUUCUUUCACCGGGGACGAUAAUGACGGUACCCGGAGAAGAAGCCCCGGCUAACUUCGUG